rnacentral:rRNA from 1 species
UACAGAGGGGGCAAGCGUUAUUCGGAAUUAUUGGGCGUAAAGGGCGCGUAGGCGGCUUCGCAAGUGACGGGUGAAAUCCCUCGGCUUAACCGAGGAACUGCCUGUCAAACUGCGUGGCUUGAGACCAGGAGAGGUGAGUGGAAUUCCCAGUGUAGCGGUGAAAUGCGUAGAUAUUGGGAGGAACACCAGUGGCGAAGGCGGCAUCCUGGACCAAUAUUGACGCUGAGGAGCGAAAGCCAGGGGAGCAAACGGG